GGACCCGCACAAGCAGUGGAGCAUGUGGUUUAAUUCGACGCAACGCGAAGAACCUUACCAGCGUUUGACAUGGAAAGUGCCGGUUACAGAAUGGUAACCUUCAGUUCGGCUGGCUUUCGCACAGGUGCUGCAUGGCUGUCGUCAGCUCGUGUCGUGAGAUGUUGGGUUAAGUCCCGCAACGAGCGCAACCCUUAUCGUUAGUUACUAACAGUUCGGCUGAGGACUCUAGCGAAACUGCCGGUGAUAAGCCGGAGGAAGGUGGGGAUGACGUCAAGUCCUCAUGGCCCUUACACGCUGGGCUACACACGUGCUACAAUGGUAACUACAACGGGACGCAAUACCGCGAGGUGGAGCUAAUCCCCAAAAGUUAUCUCAGUUCGGAUUGCACUCUGCAACUCGACCCCAUGAAGUCGGAAUCGCUAGUAAUCG
rnacentral:rRNA from 1 species